UUGAAAAACUUCAUACAGGAGAGAGAAGAUGGUCAUAAUAAUAUGACUGAUGAACAAAUCUUUUUGGAAAUACUUGGUGAAGAAAAACAUGGAUAUCUGCGUGCUUAUGGAAGAAAUAAAAGCAUUACUGAUCAUUUUAAAUAGAAACCAAGUCGUAUCAAUCUUGCUAAUCAGGUUAUUGAAAUUGAGAAGAAAGCUGAAGAAAGACUUGAAGAAGCUAAAAAGGCUAUGGAAGAAAAAAUGGAGGAAAAAUUAGCUGAACGUGAUCAAAUGUGGGAGGAAAGGUUCAAGAAGUUGUGUGAGAAGCUUGGAGCACCAUCAGCAAACCAUGAUCAUAAGACAACUUAAUUUGAUCACUAGGAUGACUAUGUCAAGAACUCAGAAACUUACUACUUCACCAGAUUAGAGGAUGCAGGAGAUAUAAAAUGUCACUGAAUAUUCAAUGUUUUUGAGAUAUUAUGGACAAAUGAUAUUUUUUGUUGUGAAGCAUGACUUUAUAAACUAGUGAUGGUAUGAUGUAAUUUUUGGGAUUUUAAAUACUUGGUAACAAAUUACAAGUAUAAAUUAAUGUUAUUUAUACCCGUUGCUAAUUACUUGUGCCAUGGGAACUUUGAAGGCUAGCCACAGGUAUACCCAUGGCACAAGAAGGUAAAUGUUGUAGUGAAACUAACGAAGUGUAAUGGUAUAAAUAAAAAUAAGAUUCUUGGUGUCA